rnacentral:rRNA from 1 species
UACGAAGGGUGCAAACGUUGCUCGGAAUCAUUGGGCGUAAAGCGCACGUAGGCGGCUUCGCAAGUCGGAUGUGAAAUCCCUAGGCUCAACCAAGGACGUGCAUCUGAAACUGCAGAGCUUGAGUACAGGAGAGGAUCGCGGAAUUCCCGGUGUAGAGGUGAAAUUCGUAGAUAUCGGGAGGAACACCAGUGGCGAAGGCGGCGAUCUGGGCUGAUACUGACGCUGAGGUGCGAAAGCGUGGGGAGCAAACAGG